CAGCCGCCGCGGGAAUACGGGGGGGGCAAGUGUUAUUCGGAGUUACUGGGCGUAAAGCGUGCGCAGGCGGUGUUGUAAGACUGAUGUGAAAUCCCCGGGCUCAACCUGGGAACUGCAUUGGUGACUGCAACGCUGGAGUGCGGCAGAGGGGGAUGGAAUUCCGCGUGUAGCAGUGAAAUGCGUAGAUAUGCGGAGGAACACCGAUGGCGAAGGCAAUCCCCUGGGCCUGCACUGACGCUCAUGCACGAAAGCGUGGGGAGCAAACAGGAUUAGAUACCCCCGUAGUCCCUGUCUCUUAUAC
rnacentral:rRNA from 1 species